AAACUUUCAACAACGGAUCUCUUGGUUCUGGCAUCGAUGAAGAACGCAGCGAAAUGCGAUAAGUAAUGUGAAUUGCAGAAUUUAGUGAAUCAUCGAAUCUUUGAACGCACAUUGCGCCCCUUGGUAUUCCGGGGGGCAUACCUGUUCGAGCGUCAUUA
rnacentral:rRNA from 2 species